rnacentral:rRNA from 1 species
UACGUAGGGUGCAAGCGUUGUCCGGAAUUAUUGGGCGUAAAGAGCUCGUAGGCGGUUUGUCGCGUCUGCUGUGAAAACUCGGGGCUCAACUCCGAGCUUGCAGUGGGUACGGGCAGACUAGAGUGCGGUAGGGGAGAACGGAAUUCCUGGUGUAGCGGUGAAAUGCGCAGAUAUCAGGAGGAACACCGGUGGCGAAGGCGGUUCUCUGGGCAUGAUCUGACGCUGAGGAGCGAAAGUGUGGGGAGCGAACAGG